GACGAACGCUGGCGGCGUGCCUAAUACAUGCAAGUCGAACGCAGUGGCGGACGGGUGAGUAACACGUGGGUAACUACCCAUCAGAGGGGGAUAACUAUUGGAAACGAUAGCUAAUACCGCAUACUGUGAGAUGGACCUGCGUUGUAUUAGGUAGUUGGUGAGGUCAAGGCGCACCAAGGCGACGAUACCUAGCCUACAUGAGAGGGUUAGCGGCCAAACUGGGAAUGAGGAAAGGCCCAGACUCCUACGGGAGGCAGCAGUAGGGAAGUUUCGGAAAUGGGCGGAAGUCUGACCGAGCAACGCCGCGUGAGUGAAGAAGGGUUUCGGAGCGUAAAGCUCUGUUGUUAGAGAAGCGGUAACUAACCAGAAAGGGACGGCUAACUACGUGCCAGCAGCCGCGGUAAUAC
rnacentral:rRNA from 1 species